GUGUGUGUGUGUUUGCAUAGCUAUCUUUGUGAGAUUAUUUUUAACCUUUGUAGUGAGGACCUUUUUGCAUUGUGUGCUCAUUUUGGCUGGUCCUCACUUUGUCUUCACUGUAAUGUCCUCGAGAGGCUGUUUUUAGGCUUCUCUCUAAGUUUCAGAGAGAUCCUCAGAAAAGUGGCAAACUGAAACAAAUCAAGUACAAAUGUGUGUGUGUGUGCGUGAGCAGGACAGUAGUUAAAAUGUUGUCGCCACAAAUGAAACCAACACUUCAUUCUCAUAAGGUCCUCACUUCAAAGGUGACACUGAUUUGGCACUGACUUUUUCAAAUUCUAUCUAAGAAGUGGAAACUUAUGAAUGUCUAUAAAAACUAUCUAUGUCGUAGAAAUGUGAAAUAAUAUUUGAAGCCUUCUUGGCCGAGAAAAGCAGAAGAAUGUAAUUUUGGCUCACAACAACUCCCAGAAUGCACUGCGCUCACUGCCCCAAGCUUCGAAGCAGACAGCGCUAGUUGUGUAAACACACAAACCCCGUGAGCGAUCACUCGGCCAAUACAUGACAGACCUGUAAAUGACUCGGGUUGUUUUCUGUGGUGCGACAUUGUACCGGGAUGUGCAGUAAAAACAAGGAAAGGACAAGCAGGAAGUUCCCAUCAUUUGCUGGUCAGAGUUUGCCUGAUGCCUCAAGGCUAAGCUAUUAUGGAGUUUUGGAGAAGACAUUGAAGACAUGGAGAAGCUGGAAGCUCAGAGGGUUCACGGUCUCCAUUUCCAACACAAAGACGUCACUGAGAGGAGCAUGGUUGAAUCAAGUCUUGGAGAAAAUCUUCACACCAUCCAGUGUCUGCUCCUCUUCCAGACUCAGAUUCUGUCGCCACUGUACAUGUUUCAUCAUUUAUUUUUUGUUUGCAUAUUGUGUUAGACAUUCUUUUAGAUUUGUCUUCUUGUUUAUUUUAUAUUAAAAGAUUUUCCUUUGUGAAUAAUAAAGCUAUAUUUGGUUGUAUCACCCUGCAUUCAUGUGUACGCCACAGUUCAACAGUAAAGACUCGUGGAAGGAG